AUGACAAGCACUUUGAAAAGAGGGUGAAAAGAGCCUGAAACCGUUACGGGGGAAGCGGAUUGCGUUGGAUUGGCGGGCGUCAGUGUGUUCAGCCUUUUUAGGUGUAUUGACAUUGGCGCCUAUCCGCCGUGGGUUUCUGGCGGCUGACGUUGAGUCGCUGGGGACUGAGGGCUCCCUUCGGGUGAGGACGGCGGAGUGACGACGCGAUACGACCCGUCUUGAAACACGGACCAAGGAGUCUAGCGCGAGUGCGAGUCAGAGGGUGCAAGCCCGUGGGCGAAGUGAAAGCGAGUGUAAAAACGAGCAGUUUGGGGCGGCAUGGAAUCGUUGAUUCCAGGACCGACCCGGAGCAGUUGCGCUGGGACCCGAAAGAUGGUGAACUAUGCCGGAGUAGGGCAAAGCCAGAGGAAACUCUGGUGGAGGCUCGUAGCGGUGCUGACGUGCAAAUCGCUCGUCGAACUUGGGUAUAGGGGCGAAAGACUAAUCGAACCAUCUAGUAGCUGGUUCCCUCCGAAGUUUCUCUCAGGAUAGCGGGCCGACUUUGUUGUUUUGUGC
rnacentral:rRNA from 1 species